rnacentral:rRNA from 1 species
GACGAACGCUGGCGGCGUGCUUAACACAUGCAAGUCGAACGGUAAGGCCCUUCGGGGUACACGAGUGGCGAACGGGUGAGUAACACGUGGGUGAUCUGCCCUGCACUUCGGGAUAAGCCUGGGAAACUGGGUCUAAUACCGGAUAGGACUCCGGACUGCAUGGUCUGGGGUGGAAAGCUUUUGCGGUGUGGGAUGGGCCCGCGGCCUAUCAGCUUGUUAGUGGGGUGAUGGCCUACCAAGGCGACGACGGGUAGCCGGCCUGAGAGGGUGACCGACCACACUGGGACUGAGAUACGGCCCAGACUCCUACGGGAGGCAGCAGUGGGGAAUAUUGCACAACGGGCGCAAGCCUGAUGCAGCGACGCCGCGUGAGGGAUGACGGCCUUCGGGUUGUAAACCUCUUUCAGCAUCGACGAAGCGAAAGUGACGGUAGGUGCAGAAGAAGGACCGGCCAACUACGUGCCAGCCGCCGCUGUAA